GGCAACCUUAUUUUUUCUAAAAAUCUAUCUUCUUCUGACAUGUUGGAGGGCUUAUGUAUUUUGUUUUAUUCUCGUUCAAAGCCUUUAGCUUAAGCUAUGUCAAGGCUGUCUAUAGCAGUUGACUUCUGCUUUCUGCUGGGUCUUCAAUUCCUGUUCCUCCUGCCACAAAAGAGCGGUUGCUGAUGCUGCUUUAGAAAGUGAAGUCAUUUGCCUUUUCAGAUAGAAUGAAGAAAGCCCGGAGGAGGCUGCAGAAUCUUUUCACAUAACUAGAUACUGCUCCUGGAGGCCUGGGUGUGACCGUGACGUAGACUCUGGAGCCACAGGAUAGACCAGUGAACUCAUUUUUCUUCCAGGUGAGGUCUGUAAGAUUUUGAUUUGUAUAUAAUCUGGAAUAGAAUUGUGCCUUCAAAUAAGUGACUUUUCUAACUUUAGGUUAUACAUGGUGUGAUACUAACUUAAAAAUAA
rnacentral:lncRNA from 1 species